rnacentral:misc_RNA from 1 species
CCCCCGGUUAUGGUUCAUAAUGCUUCUAUUCGACUGAGCCUUCAAAAUGGUUGGAAAGGUCAGUCAAUUAACCCACCUCCGGAAUUUGAUUUGGGAGCUCAGUUUCCUCCUGAGGAAGUUGAGCUUGAGAAGGAAAGUUAAGCUGGCAGCUUUCCAUGUUAGCAAGCAACUGGAUUACAGUUCUCAAAUGAGGCACACUUUCCAAUCCACUUUCCAUAUGUGCAUCCAAGGAUGAAAUUACCCGAGGCAUCUGCUCUAACACUUGCUCAGUGUUCUUCAUUUCAGACGCUUUUGCUAGGAGGUUCUUUGGGAGCUUCAUUAGCUGGGCCUGAGAAGCAGAGGAUUGUUGCAUGAGGUGGAGGAGAUUGGAGGUAGAUUGUACGGCCUGAGAAAUCUGUUCAGCGACCAUUGCUUUAGCAGUGUCUUCUCUGGUGCUGCUGCUUCUUGAUGUCCCCUUCGUACUUCCACUUCCACCCGAUGGUGUUGAGGUUGCCAUUUUCCUCUCCAUUUGCUUUUUCCAAAGAGAUGCAUU